GCGCGGGUAGCUCAGCGGUAGAGCAGUUGGCUUUUAACCAAUUGGUCCUGGGUUCGAUCCCCAGCCCGCGUA
rnacentral:tRNA from 2 species